GACAGAGGGUGCAAACGUUGUUCGGAAUUACUGGGCGUAAAGCGCGUGUAGGCGGCUAAGUAAGUCGGGCGUGAAAUCCCACGGCUCAACCGUGGAAGUGCACUCGAAACUGCAUAGCUAGAGUCCUGGAGAGGAAGGUGGAAUGCUUGGUGUAGAGGUGAAAUUCGUAGAUAUCAAGCGGAACACCGGUGGCGAAGGCGCCUUCUGGACAGUGACUGACGCUGAGACGCGAAAGCGUGGGGAGCAAACAGG
rnacentral:rRNA from 1 species